rnacentral:rRNA from 1 species
UCAGGAUGAACGCUGGCGGCGUGCCUAAUACAUGCAAGUCGAGCGAACAGAUGAGAAGCUUGCUUCUCUGAUGUUAGCGGCGGACGGGUGAGUAACACGUGGGUAACCUACCUAUAAGACUGGGAUAACUCCGGGAAACCGGGGCUAAUACCGGAUAAUAUUUUGAACCGCAUGGUUCAAUAGUGAAAGACGGUUUCGGCUGUCACUUAUAGAUGGACCCGCGCCGUAUUAGCUAGUUGGUAAGGUAACGGCUUACCAAGGCGACGAUACGUAGCCGACCUGAGAGGGUGAUCGGCCACACUGGAACUGAGACACGGUCCAGACUCCUACGGGAGGCAGCAGUAGGGAAUCUUCCGCAAUGGGCGAAAGCCUGACGGAGCAACGCCGCGUGAGUGAUGAAGGUCUUCGGAUCGUAAAACUCUGUUGUUAGGGAAGAACAAAUUUGUUAGUAACUGAACAAGUCUGACG